rnacentral:lncRNA from 1 species
UAUCAUCAAAGAUUCUUGGGCAAAGUCAGCCUCCAUUGUAACUCCCUAGGCUUUGGAAACAAUUGAGCUAACCACCCUGUUGUGAUUUUAUGAUACACAAUCUGGAAAAAACAUGUCUUUUGACUAAAAUGGAAAAGAAUCAGUGAGCUGCAGCCCAGCGAUGGAGAGCAAUCCUGUAUGACAAAUCACCAUGCACUCCAAGUAAUGGAGGGGAAAGAAUGAGAAGAAGAGAGCGAGCUUUGUUUUGAAGCUUCCAGCAGGUAGCUAUGUACCAGAUCUGAUUUGUACCUGCAAGCGCAUCUGUGUGGUUCAAAAUUUGGGCCCUGCUGUCGUAGUACCCAGAGCACCUCCAGACCUCAGUGUAUGGAAGCUCAGCUCCCCAUGAAGCAGAGGUGUGCUCUAUUUUUC